rnacentral:rRNA from 1 species
UACGUAGGGGGCAAGCGUUGUCCGGAAUUAUUGGGCGUAAAGAGCUCGUAGGCGGUUUGUUGCGUCGGCUGUGAAAACCUGAGGCUCAACCUCAGGCCUGCAGUCGAUACGAGCAGACUAGAGUGUUGCAGGGGAGACUGGAAUUCCUGGUGUAGCGGUGAAAUGCGCAGAUAUCAGGAGGAACACCGGUGGCGAAGGCGGGGUCUCUGGGCAACAACUGACGCUGAGGAGCGAAAGCGUGGGGAGCGAACAGG